rnacentral:snoRNA from 14 species
GUGCUUAAUAGGAUUGAACAAAGUCCCUCAAAUCUUGAUCCAUCUGUCACUUUGUCAGCAGUCUUAAUUGGUUUCUUGCUGAUCAUUAUAUGAUGGGAAAUAA